rnacentral:rRNA from 1 species
CUGGCUCAGGACGAACGCUGGCGGCGUGCUUAACACAUGCAAGUCGAACGAUGAUGCCCAGCUUGCUGGGUGGAUUAGUGGCGAACGGGUGAG